rnacentral:rRNA from 1 species
AGUUUACUUACCGSUUAACAUCGAGUGUUAAAUAUGCUAGUCCUUUCAUGAUUAUGUGAUAGGUGGUGCAUGGCCGUUCUUAGUUCGUGGAGUGAUCUGUCUGCUUAAUUGCGUUUCACUAAGGGCCCAUAAAUUCAAGGUAUGUUAGCUCUCGUCGCUCUAUGGACCCCUUAACUCCAAUAUUCUUAUUGUGUUAAGCGCGUGUCUUUAUUUUAAGAGUUUU